rnacentral:lncRNA from 1 species
UCACGCUCAGGCCGCCCUUAUCGUCACCCUCACCAAAAUUCACUCCACACACUCUCUCUCUCUCUCUCUCUCUCUCUCUCUCUCUCUCUCUCUCUCUCUCUCUCUCUCUCUCUCUACCUUCAUUCUCUAUCUCCCUCGGUUAUACAUCGACGGUUGUGAUGAGGAGGACUACCGCAUGUGGUGCAGUCGCUUGUAGGACUACCAUUGUUGCUACAUCAACCCUUCGCCUACGCUGUGGCUCCUUCGAAUCCGUUAGAUACUUAUCAAAAAACUAGAUUCUAAAGUCCUAAUCAAACAAACCCAAGAUGAGAAAACCAGAAAACAUGAGGAUCCAAUAGUGAUGGAGGAAGAUUAGUUGUUCUUAUUUGUUUUUCUGGUUUUGAAGAAGAGUGGUGGUUUUCCUCGUAAUUUCGCAGUGGCAAUUGGUGUCGUUUGCAGCAGCAGCCUUGCCAUUGGUGGUGCAACGACUUUUUUUGCUAUUGGUGGUGUUAGUGUUGAUACUGUGUUGGUGGUGGCGAUUUUCGCGAUGCUGGUGAGGUGGUGGUGGUGGUGUUUGUUGCGGUAUUCAUGGUCGUGGAGAUGGUGUGAUGGUUGUGGGUAAGAUGACAUGGGGUGAGUGUGUGUGAC